rnacentral:rRNA from 1 species
UACGUAGGGUGCAAGCGUUGUCCGGAAUUAUUGGGCGUAAAGAGUUCGUAGGCGGUUUGUCGCGUCCGUUGUGAAAGCUUGGGGCUCAACCCCAAGUCUGCAGUGGAUACGGGCAGACUAGAGUCCGGUAGGGGACCACGGAAUUCCUGGUGUAGCGGUGAAAUGCGCAGAUAUCAGGAGGAACACCGGUGGCGAAGGCGGCUCUCUGGGACGGUACUGGCGCUGAGACGCGAAAGCGUGGGGAGCGAACAGG